rnacentral:lncRNA from 1 species
GCGAAUGAAAAGAGGAGAGGGAAAGAGACUGUUGGAGGAGGCUUGUUUAGUCAAGGAAGGCAGUGGCAAGCUAGGGCGCAGACUUGGGGGAGCAGCCUUGGGCUGGGUCUGGAGGAGUGGGUGGUUUUCGGGGUUGGCCGCCCAGCCUGGAGCCCUGCUGCUGAGGAGAAGGAGGAAGCCUGCCUGCCGGGUCGGGGCAGGCCUGGGCAGGGCAAACUGGGCCGGAUAAAGAAACAGGUGCUGGGAGCUUUUAUCUUUAUUUCAUAUCCCCAAGUCUGUGGUGGUGGAGCGACCAAUUUUCCCAUAAUCCUAGGAAGGGGAGGCACUUGGGACACUCGGCACACGCAUCCUCUUCUGUCUGCCCACAGGGCUCGCAUUUCAACAGUCGGUCUCCAGCAGAUUCACCAGGCACUGUACGCCACACAAGAGGAAAAAGUAGAGAAACUUCUCAAGGAGGGCAUUCAGUUUCACCCAGACAAUAUGAAGCCGCUAAUUGGUGAGUGCCAAAUAAGACUCCUUAGGAAGCAACAGAAGCUCUUUAAAUAAGCCACUGGAAGCCACUCU